GCUGGGCGUGGUGGCGCGUGCCUGUAAUCCCAGCUACUUAGGAGGCUGAGGCAGGAGAAUUGCCUGAGCCCAGGAGGCGGAGGUUGCAGUGAGCCGAGACCGCGCCAUUGCACUCCAGCCUGGGUAACAAGAGCGAAACUCCGUCUCAAAAAAAAAAAAAAAAAAAAGACAGGAUGUCUUUCUAUUUCCCAGGCUGGAGCGCAGCGGCAUGAUCACAGCUCACUGCAGCCUCAAACUCUUGGACUCAGUCAAUCCUCCUGCCUCA
rnacentral:sRNA from 1 species